rnacentral:misc_RNA from 1 species
GAUGAAGAACGUAGCGAAAUGCGAUAAGUAAUGUGAAUUGCAGAAUUCAGUGAAUCAUCGAAUCUUUGAACGCACAUUGCGCCCCUUGGUAUUCCGGGGGGCAUGCCUGUUCGAGCGUCAUUUCAACCCUCAAGCUCUGCUUGGUAUUGGGCUCCGUCCUCCUCGGACGCGCCUCAAAGACCUCGGCGGUGGCGUCUUGCCUCAAGCGUAGUAGAAACACCUCGCUUUGGAGUGCAUGGCGUCGCCCGACGGACGAAACCUUUUGUAUUGUCUCAAAGGUUGACCUCGGAUCAGGUAGGGAUACCCGCUGAACUUAAGCAUAUCAAUAAGCGGAGGA